GACGAGCGCUGGCGGCGUGCUUAACACAUGCGAGUCGAACGGAAAGGCCCUGCUUGCAGGGUACUCGAGUGGCGAACGGGUGAGUAACACGUGGGUGAUCUGCCCUGCACUUCGGGAUAAGCCUGGGAAACUGGGUCUAAUACCGGAUAGGAGCCAUUUUUAGUGUGAUGGUUGGAAAGUUUUUUCGGUGUAGGAUGAGCUCGCGGCCUAUCAGCUUGUUGGUGGGGUAAUGGCCUACCAAGGCGGCGACGGGUAGCCGGCCUGAGAGGGUGGACGGCCACAUUGGGACUGAGAUACGGCCCAGACUCCUACGGGAGGCAGCAGUGGGGAAUAUUGCACAAUGGGCGCAAGCCUGAUGCAGCGACGCCGCGUGGGGGAUGACGGCCUUCGGGUUGUAAACUCCUUUCGCUAGGGACGAAGCUUUUUGUGACGGUACCUAGAUAAGAAGCACCGGCUAACUACGUG
rnacentral:rRNA from 1 species